GCUUAUCUGCUCUGACUUGACUCUGAAUUGUGUUUUUAGGGAGAGACAGCAACCAAAGCAAGAUGGCCGGGUAUAAAACACUAGGCUUAAAAGCGGGACCAGCCCCAGCCCGCCAUUAAUGCAAUUCUUUUCACCUCCCUCUAGCUCCAUAUUAAUUGUGCUACUUGUCAAUCUAAAGCUUAGCUCAAACCAGGUCAACUUGCUAUCUCUCUUUUUCUCUGUGUGUGAUUUGUUAUUGGACUAAUAAAAGGAGACGUGGGUUUUUGAAUUCUUUAUGUUCUCUUUUAUGGGUUUGUGAGUUUUUUUCCCCUUUUUUAACAAAUUGUUUGCAAGAAGUUGCUGUUAAAAGCAAUCCAUUUGUGGUGUUUUUGUUUUCUGGAUAAAACCUUUUGCUGCAUUGAAAAGAAACAUUUUUGGUUUCACACUCAGAUCUGCUCUUUUGUUAUGCUUUUAAAGUUUAUGUUCUUUUUUUUCAAGUUCUCUGUAGCUUAGGUCUCCAAUUUUUGUGAUCUUUAGGAAGAGAGCUUCAAAAGGGUACCUUGUUUUGUGAUUAAUUUGAUGGGGGUUUGCUUGAGCGCCCAA
rnacentral:misc_RNA from 1 species